UACAGAGGUCUCAAGCGUUGUUCGGAUUCAUUGGGCGUAAAGGGUGCGUAGGCGGCGCGGUAAGUCGGGUGUGAAAUCUUGGAGCUUAACUCCGAAACUGCAUUCGAUACUGCUUUGCUCGAGGACUGGAGAGGAGAUUGGAAUUCACGGUGUAGCAGUGAAAUGCGUAGAUAUCGUGAGGAAGACCAGUGGCGAAGGCGGAUCUCUGGACAGUUCCUGACGCUGAGGCGCGAAAGCGUGGGGAGCGAACAGG
rnacentral:rRNA from 1 species